rnacentral:rRNA from 1 species
GAGCAGUGGAGGGAUAAGAAGAGAGAAUGCCGGAAUGAGUAGCGAGAGGAAGGUGGGAAUCCUUCCGGCCGAAUAUCUAAGGUUUCCAGAGUAAAGCUGAUCUGCUCUGGGUAAGUCGGGGCCUAAGGCGAGGUCGAAAGACGUAGUCGAUGGAUAACAGGUUGAAAUUCCUGUACUAUCCUGUAACAGAACUGUGGGGACACAGGCAGAGAGCGUGAGCCGGGAAUGGAAAGACCGGUACAAGCGAGGUAGGAGAAGAGUUGGCAAAUCCGCUCUUUAAUCUGAAGACGUGAUGUGGACUGAAAAUAAGUAGGGAAGCACGUGAGCUGACUGUCAAGAAAAGCCGCUAUUGUUUGCAGGAUACCCGUACCGUAAACCGACACAGGUGGAUGAGGAGAGAAUCCUAAGGCCGACGGAAGAAGCAUUGUUAAGGAACUCGGCAAAAUGACCCCGUAACUUCGGGAGAAGGGGUGCUCACGCAAGUGAGCCGCAGAGAACUGGCCCAAGCAACUGUUUAGCAAAAACACAGGUCUAUGCAAAACCGAAAGGUGAGGUAUAUGGGCUGACGCCUGCCCGGUGCUGGAAGGUUAAGGGGAGAGGUUAGCGCAAGCGAAGCUUUGAACUUAAGCCCCAGUAAACGGCGGCCGUAACUAUAACGGUCCUAAGGUAGCGAAAUUCCUUGUCGGGUAAGUUCCGACCCGCACGAAAGGCGUAAUGAUUUGGGCACUGUCUCAACAAUGCACCCGGUGAAAUUGAAAUACCAGUGAAGAUGCUGGUUACCUGCGCCAGGACGGAAAGACCCCAUGGAGCUUUACUCCAGCUUGAUACUGGGAUUCGGUAUUGCAUGUACAGGAUAGGUGGGAGGCUAGGAAAUGGUAACGCCAGUUGCCAUGGAGCCGCUGUUGGGAUACCACCCUUGCAGUACUGGGUUUCUAACCAGCAGCCGUGAUCCGGCUGGGGGACAAUGUCAGGUGGGGAGUUUGACUGGGGCGGUCGCCUCCGAAAGGGUAUCGGAGGCGCUCAAAGGU